rnacentral:tRNA from 2 species
UUACCCUUAAGCUUAACUAAAGCAUAACAC